UUUUCGUAGGUGAACCUGCGGAAGGAUCAUUAAUGAAUUCGGGCGCUCGACUCUGAAAUAUUGAGAUCGGCCCCAUUUCUUAAUCCACUUCACACUUGUGCACAUUUUUCCUACUUUCCUUCGGGAGAGUUUGAAAAGCUCUUGUGAUUUUAAUCAAGUCCAGGAUGUGAAUCCAAUUUGAAUAAGUUGUAAAACAACUACAAACGGUGGAUCUCUUGGCUCUC
rnacentral:misc_RNA from 1 species